GCUUUGGCUCUCUCUCCACUUACUUACUCUCUUGAGUUUUUUUCUCUUCUUAAAAACCUCUUCUUCACUUAUCCUUCUCAUCAUUCUCUUCAUCAUCACCACAUUCAUCUCUCUCUCUCUCUCUCUCUCUCUCUCUUUCUCUUCCUUGAUCUUAGCCGGAUCUGUUGGGGGACGAACACAUGAGAGAUAGAUAAAAUAUAAGAAAUUUCUCGAAAAAACCUAAUAGAAAAAGGUCUGUUUCUUAAAGAAGAAGAAGAAGAGGAUUUAAAGAGGGAUUUUUCUUUUGAGGGGACUGUUGUCUGGCUCGAGGACUCUUAUUCUAAUACAAUCUCAUUUGAAUACAUUCAGAUCUGAUGAUUGAUUAGGG
rnacentral:sRNA from 1 species